rnacentral:rRNA from 1 species
UGAGGAAUCUUGCGCAAUGGGGGAAACCCUGACGCAGCAACGCCGCGUGAGUGAAGAAGGCCUUCGGGUCGUAAAGCUCUGUCAGAUGGGAAGAAAUGUAUGGGGUUAAUAGCCUUCAUACUUGACGGUACCACCAAAGGAAGCACCGGCUAACUCCGUGCCAGCAGCCGCGGUAAUACGGGGGGUGCAAGCGUUGUUCGGAAUUAUUGGGCGUAAAGAGCGUGUAGGCGGCUUGUCAAGUCAGAUGUGAAAGCCCUGGGCUUAACCCAGGAAGUGCAUUUGAAACUGGCAGGCUUGAGUAGGGGAGAGGGAAGUGGAAUUCCUGGUGUAGAGGUGAAAUUCGUAGAUAUCAGGAGGAACACCGGUGGCGAAGGCGACUUCCUGGCCCUAUACUGACGCUGAAACGCGAGAGCGUGGGUAGCAAACA